rnacentral:rRNA from 3 species
AAAUUGAAGAGUUUGAUCAUGGCUCAGAUUGAACGCUGGCGGCAGGCCUAACACAUGCAAGUCGAACGGUAACAGGAAGCAGCUUGCUGUUUCGCUGACGAGUGGCGGACGGGUGAGUAAUGUCUGGGAAACUGCCUGAUGGAGGGGGAUAACUACUGGAAACGGUGGCUAAUACCGCAUAACGUCGCAAGACCAAAGAGGGGGACCUUCGGGCCUCUUGCCAUCAGAUGUGCCCAGAUGGGAUUAGCUUGUUGGUGAGGUAACGGCUCACCAAGGCGACGAUCCCUAGCUGGUCUGAGAGGAUGACCAGCCACACUGGAACUGAGACACGGUCCAGACUCCUACGGGAGGCAGCAGUGGGGAAUAUUGCACAAUGGGCGCAAGCCUGAUGCAGCCAUGCCGCGUGUAUGAAGAAGGCCUUCGGGUUGUAAAGUACUUUCAGCGGGGAGGAAGGUGUUGUGGUUAAUAACCGCAGCAAUUGACGUUACCCGCAGAAGAAGCACCGGCUAACUCCGUGCCAGCAGCCGCGGUAAUACGGAGGGUGCAAGCGUUAAUCGGAAUUACUGGGCGUAAAGCGCACGCAGGCGGUCUGUCAAGUCGGAUGUGAAAUCCCCGGGCUCAACCUGGGAACUGCAUUCGAAACUGGCAGGCUUGAGUCUUGUAGAGGGGGGUAGAAUUCCAGGUGUAGCGGUGAAAUGCGUAGAGAUCUGGAGGAAUACCGGUGGCGAAGGCGGCCCCCUGGACAAAGACUGACGCUCAGGUGCGAAAGCGUGGGGAGCAAACAGGAUUAGAUACCCUGGUAGUCCACGCCGUAAACGAUGUCUACUUGGAGGUUGUGCCCUUGAGGCGUGGCUUCCGGAGCUAACGCGUUAAGUAGACCGCCUGGGGAGUACGGCCGCAAGGUUAAAACUCAAAUGAAUUGACGGGGGCCCGCACAAGCGGUGGAGCAUGUGGUUUAAUUCGAUGCAACGCGAAGAACCUUACCUGGUCUUGACAUCCACAGAACUUUCCAGAGAUGGAUUGGUGCCUUCGGGAACUGUGAGACAGGUGCUGCAUGGCUGUCGUCAGCUCGUGUUGUGAAAUGUUGGGUUAAGUCCCGCAACGAGCGCAACCCUUAUCCUUUGUUGCCAGCGGUCCGGCCGGGAACUCAAAGGAGACUGCCAGUGAUAAACUGGAGGAAGGUGGGGAUGACGUCAAGUCAUCAUGGCCCUUACGACCAGGGCUACACACGUGCUACAAUGGCGCAUACAAAGAGAAGCGACCUCGCGAGAGCAAGCGGACCUCAUAAAGUGCGUCGUAGUCCGGAUUGGAGUCUGCAACUCGACUCCAUGAAGUCGGAAUCGCUAGUAAUCGUGGAUCAGAAUGCCACGGUGAAUACGUUCCCGGGCCUUGUACACACCGCCCGUCACACCAUGGGAGUGGGUUGCAAAAGAAGUAGGUAGCUUAACCUUCGGGAGGGCGCUUACCACUUUGUGAUUCAUGACUGGGGUGAAGUCGUAACAAGGUAACCGUAGGGGAACCUGCGGUUGGAUCACCUCCUUA